UGCAUCGAUGAAGAACGCAGCGAAAUGCGAUAAGUAAUGUGAAUUGCAGAAUUCAGUGAAUCAUCGAAUCUUUGAACGCACAUUGCGCCCCUUGGUAUUCCGGGGGGCAUGCCUGUUCGAGCGUCAUUACAACCCUCAAGCUCUGCUUGGAAUUGGGCACCGUCCUCACUGCGGACGCGCCUCAAAGACCUCGGCGGUGGCUGUUCAGCCCUCAAGCGUAGUAGAAUACACCUCGCUUUGGAGUGGUUGGCGUCGCCCGCCGGACGAACCUUCUGAACUUUUCUCAAGGUUGACCUCGGAUCAGGUAGGGAUACCCGCUGAACUUAAGCAUAUCAAUAAGCGGAGGAA
rnacentral:rRNA from 1 species